rnacentral:tRNA from 1 species
GCCUGGGUGGCUCAGUUGGUUGAGCGUCCGACUUCGGCUCAGGUCAUGAUCUCGCGGUCCGUGGGUUCGAGCCCCGCGUCGGGCU